AUGGCGGUCAACAAGAAGACCAAAGAAACAAUCCCUAGAGAUUUAAGUAUGUUGUUUGACAUCUGGACGAUCGCAUCUUCCUCGGUUUCCGCUUCCUCUUCAGCAAAACCAAAUCAGAACCUAAAUGCAAAAUAUGGACUUCGCCGUGUACGAAUUUGCGGCGAUUUUGAAUCUACAUGCUUCAGGCUAUACAGAGACAUGAGGAGAUCAGAGAUUGAAUGA